UAACAUCUCACUUAUUAAUCAUUUAUGAACACAGUCAUGUUUUGUAAAUGAUUAGUUUACUUAGUUUAAUGAAUUAACAAAACACACAAAUUGUUAGCAUAUCACUUAUUAAUUGCUUGUGAAUGUUUUGUAAAUGAUUAGUUCAUCUUUAACUAAUAAUUUAUAAAUGACUUACAACUGAACGUUAUUAGAAAGUGUACAAAGUGAACAAACAAUUCCUGUCUAAACACUUUCAUAAUGUUUUAUCAGUUUAUCACAGAUUUUUUUUCUUUCAUACAUUUCUAUAUUGUGUUCGUAGUAUUUUAUUGUAGACGUCAUAAAAAAAAAGAGAUUUGAUGUUAAAAUGUAAAGGUAGCAGUUUUCUGCAGAUAAUUUAAUGAUUCUGAAUCUGUUUUGAUCGUGUUGUUCUUCUAAUUCAGUGAUUUUAAUAUCCAUACAAAUGAUGUGUAAAUCUUUUAAACUCAUUUGAUUCAGUUAAUUUCUAAUUAUGAACAGUAAUAUACUCUAACUUGUAGCCACACAUUGUGUAUUUGAAAUGUAAUGUGAAACGUAUAAAAACACAUAAAAACUAUGUUAUGUUAGAAUGUAAAAAUGACUGCAUUACAGUAGUCAGUGUCUUAGUGUGUUUAGUUUUACUUAUGAGGUUUGAUUUAAAUGUGUAAAGUGUUUGUGUAGUUUGUAUAUUGUAUAGAUAGUAAUAUCAGCUGUAGUGAUGUUGAAUAAGAUGAAUGAUGAGACUUUAGUGAUUUUGACUGCACUCCUCAUGUCUGCUGCUGAAAGUCCUGUUGAAAUGCUGUGAAUGCUGCAGGGCAGAAGAGUGCUGGAGCUGCAGUGUGUUUUCUCUGUGUUUGUGAAUGUGUUGUGUUUGUCUCCUGCAGCUGGUCCCACAGUGAAGCCCUCAGUGUCUCUGCUGCCGCCCUCUUCUCUGCAGAUCUCUGGAGACUCAGCCGCACUGCUCUGCCUGCUCAGCUCUUACUCUCCACAGGGGGCGCUGGUGAGCUGGACACUGGACGGCUCAGAGGUCACCGAGGGGGUUGUGACCAGUGCAGAGAGUGAGCAGGACGGCCGCUACAGCCGCAGUAGUGUCCUGACCCUCAGCAAAGCACGCUGGGAAGCGGGAGAGCAGUACGUCUGCAGAGUAACACAUGAUGGAGCUCCUCAUGAGGCCUCGUUCCACAAGAGUCGCUGUUAGUCGCUCGCAGUGCUGAUGUUUCUCCAGUGAGCGCUGCUCUCUCCUGAAGAUGAGCGUAUCUGAGUGUCCUGUGUCAGGCAGGAUUCACAUGAGUCUAGUGCUGCAGCUGUAGUCAUUUACAACUCAAUACUGAAAGAGAGCUCUAGUGUCAAAGCACUGGCUGAUCUUUCAAUCUGCUGUG